AUUUAUAUAGUUUAAUUAAAACAUUACACUUUCAUUGUAAAAUUAGAAAUUUUCUUAUAAAUA
rnacentral:tRNA from 1 species